rnacentral:lncRNA from 1 species
GAUUUGACCAUUCCGAUUUCGAUUUCAAGUCAUUUCGAUUCUCAUUCCCAUUCCGAUUGUAAUUACGAACCAAAUACUCCCUUGAUUUCUUCCCUGACAAACCAUCACAUUUUAUUGCGUUGUUACUGUAAACUGAAUAUUUAUUUCAAUCAAAUUGCUUCGUUCAAGCUGAAGAAGACCUGAGGCAGUGCAAUGGUAGAUAAAAGAAUAAGAUGUUAUUGGUGUUUCAUCGUGCCAAUUGUACUUACUAAUCAUCCCAAUCUGACGGUAGUGGGAUCACCUUAAACUAAUGCAAUAAACAAGCUGUAAA